AACAACAUUAGUUUGUUUUUUGAAUUAUUCUUCAGUCGGUGGUACUUUGUUGUAUAAUAAUCCCGGUAGUCGUUUCAGCGAAUGGGCAAAUCCCAGUCAGCCUUUUCGGGUAUCUGAGGCGACUAGGACUCUGGGACGGUUAGCUCUUAGCUCAGAUGCAGAAAGCGGUGCUUCUGGACAUCGCCCGAAUUGUCCCUCAGUUUCUCUCCUUUCCACCCUAAUCCUCAGCCGUCUGGUCACCCCUGCCAAGGGAAUCCUGUCUGGCUGAUUCGCAGCUAUACAGUGCAGCACAGUGACUACACAUUUCCGCAUAAUAUGUAACCCCACACCAUAUGUAAGCAGUGGGCAGACG